GCUCUGGUGGCACAACGGUUAAGUGCUUGGCUGCUAACCAAAAGGUUGGAGGUUCAAAUCCACCCAGCAGCU
rfam:Loxodonta africana unplaced genomic scaffold scaffold_20, whole genome shotgun sequence.